rnacentral:tRNA from 1 species
CGCGGAUAUCGAUCGAGGACAGACCCCGCGCGACCGGCGCGGGCAGAGGUGUGGAUCACAUCUGCCGCAGCCGUUCGACGGCCGCCCGGGCC